rnacentral:misc_RNA from 1 species
CGCUCACCGCUUGCCCCAGCAACACACGGUUAUUGCUUCUCCUCCAUUCAGAUAGUUGAACUCUCGAUUGAGCUGUCUCUGCCUUCUGGACAGUGCUUCUGUGUGUUUUAUUUGGGGGUCUAUUUGAGAAAUGAAUUUGAAGCGGUUAGUUAAUAGUCGAACUGUAAACUACGUAUCAAGGUUCAAUGGAAGAUUGCUGUAUAUGUACCCAUAUUGUAUUAGCAGAGAUUUCUCUGCCAUUUCAGCCUCUGCCCCUCCUUCCAUUUAUUCCUCAAGCAUUGAUGACCGAACUCUUGCCCAUAGCCCUAAUUUCUCAAAACAUAAUUUUCUCUUUAAGAGAUGCUUGCACUCUGCUCAACAAACUACGCUAAGAGAAUUGAGCUUUAAGCCAAAAUUCAAUUUUAAAGAUUCUGAAGAGGAUGAUGGAACCAUGAAUGAGUUCUUAUCACGAUUUGUGUGGAUAAUGCGUGGGAAGUUAUCUGAGGUGUAUGUAGAUUGUGAUAAACAGACAAUUGACAGUAUGCUUUUAAUUAUAGUUGAUAAAGUUGUGUCGGAGUUGGAAAAGGGUAGCCUAGAGCGGAUGCUUGGUGCCACAGUGGCCAUCCCAUCAGAGGAUUUCAGUGAGGAUUUGUGGAAAACAGUGUGGGAAGUGAGUAAUUCAGUGCUGGAGGAUAUGGAAAAGGAAAGGAAGAAGGAAAAGAUGAAGGGUUUUUUGCAGUCUGAGGAGGUAAAGGGAAUGUGCAGGUUUGCUGGUGAGAUUGGUAUCCGUGCGGACAUGCUGAGAGAGCUCAGAUUCAAAUGGGCUCGUGAAAAGAUGGAAGAGAGUGAGUUUUAUGCGAGUUUGGAGAAACUUAGAGAAGAAGAAAGAGCCCAAGAAAAAGAGGAAACAGAUGGCAAGAGUGCUCAGACCAUGAGUGAAAUGGCUAUAAUGGGUGAGGAGAAACCAAAGUUCAUAUCCCUUCCUAAGAGACAUGGAAAGAUUAGAUACAAGAUUUAUGGACUUGAUCUUUCUGAUCCAAAGUGGGCUCAAGCUGCUGA